CCUGAACGACUUACACAUAAGUCGUCCAGUAUAAAAUUAAAAAAUCAAUAUUUUGUUAUACCUAGACGACUGCCAUGUAAGUCAUCGUAGGUAUGUAAUAUUUGAUGUGUGUAGUAAUAUUUUGUUAUUAAUUAUUAUUUCAACUUCAAGCAAAAAUAAUUAAUUACAUAUUUAAAAAUUAAAAUUAAAAAAUCAUUAGCCAACUUUUUCUUAAAAAUAAAACUACAAGCAAAAUCAAGAUCAAAAUCCAAAAAUUUAAUUGUUAUUAUUUUUUAAACAAAAACCAAAAUCUAAAAACCAAAAUCACCAUUCAUGUUUUUCUAAAAACAAAAAUCUACUGCAGAAUCAAAAACCAUAAAAUAAAAUCCAAAAUCUAAAAAUUAAAAUCUAAAAGCCAAAAACCAAAAUCUAAAAUCUAAAAUCUAAAAUCUAAAAACCACC
rnacentral:lncRNA from 1 species